GGCCCGGAAACCUGGCCCUGUCUUCUUGACGAGCAUUCCUAGGGGUCUUUCCCCUCUCGCCAAAGGAAUGCAAGGUCUGUUGAAUGUCGUGAAGGAAGCAGUUCCUCUGGAAGCUUCUUGAAGACAAACAACGUCUGUAGCGACCCUUUGCAGGCAGCGGAACCCCCCACCUGGCGACAGGUGCCUCUGCGGCCAAAAGCCACGUGUAUAAGAUACACCUGCAAAGGCGGCACAACCCCAGUGCCACGUUGUGAGUUGGAUAGUUGUGGAAAGAGUCAAAUGGCUCUCCUCAAGCGUAUUCAACAAGGGGCUGAAGGAUGCCCAGAAGGUACCCCAUUGUAUGGGAUCUGAUCUGGGGCCUCGGUGCACAUGCUUUACAUGUGUUUAGUCGAGGUUAAAAAACGUCUAGGCCCCCCGAACCACGGGGACGUGGUUUUCCUUUGAAAAACACGAUGAU
rnacentral:other from 1 species